CUCCCUCAAACCCCCGGGUUUGGUGAUGAGCAAUACGCCAGGUUUGCUUGAAAGUUAGGAGGAGUAUUUAUAACAAUGUAUUAGGUCUAACCACUCCAUUGUGCUUAAUAAAAGCUCCAAUCUAUAUUUCAAA
rnacentral:misc_RNA from 1 species